GACGAACGCUGGCGGCGUGCUUAACACAUGCAAGUCGAACGGUAAGGCCCUUCGGGGUACACGAGUGGCGAACGGGUGAGUAUCACGUGGGUGAUCUGCCCUGCACUUCGGGAUAAGCCUGGGAAACUGGGUCUAAUACCGGAUAGGACCACUGCCUGCAUGGGUGGUGGUGGAAAGCUUCUGCGGUGUGGGAUGGGCCCGCGGCCUAUCAGCUUGUUGGGGGGGUGAUGGCCUACCAAGGCGACGACGGGUAGCCGGCCUGAGAGGGUGACCGGCCACACUGGGACUGAGAUACGGCCCAGACUCCUACGGGAGGCAGCAGUGGGGAAUAUUGCACAAUGGGCGCAAGCCUGAUGCAGCGACGCCGCGUGAGGGAUGACGGCCUUCGGGUUGUAAACCUCUUUCAGCACCGACGAAGCGCAAGUGACGGUAGGUGCAGAAGAAGGACCGGCCAACUACGUGCCAGCAGCCGCAGUAA
rnacentral:rRNA from 1 species